UACGGGGGGGGCAAGCGUUGUUCGGAAUUACUGGGCGUAAAGGGCUCGUAGGCGGCCAACUAAGUCACACGUGAAAUCCCUCGGCUCAACCGGGGAACUGCGUGUGAGACUGGAUGGCUUGAGUUUGGGAGAGGAAUGCGGAAUUCCAGGUGUAGCGGUGAAAUGCGUAGAUAUCUGGAGGAACACCGGUGGCGAAGGCGGCAUUCUGGACCAAUACUGACGCUGAGGAGCGAAAGCCAGGGGAGCAAACGGGAUUAGAAACCCCGUAGUCC
rnacentral:rRNA from 1 species